rnacentral:rRNA from 1 species
ACGGAAAGGCCCUGCUUGCAGGGUACUCGAGUGGCGAACGGGUGAGUAACACGUGGGUGAUCUGCCCUGCACUUCGGGAUAAGCUUGGGAAACUGGGUCUAAUACCGGAUAGGAGCCAUCUUUAGUGUGGUGGUUGGAAAGUUUUUUCGGUGUAGGAUGAGCUCGCGGCCUAUCAGCUUGUUGGUGGGGUAAUGGCCUACCAAGGCGGCGACGGGUAGCCGGCCUGAGAGGGUGUACGGCCACAUUGGGACUGAGAUACGGCCCAGACUCCUACGAGAGGCAGCAGUGGGGAAUAUUGCACAAUGGGCGCAAGCCUGAUGCAGCGACGCCGCGUGGGGGAUGAAGGCCUUCGGGUUGUAAACUCCUUUCGCUAGGGACGAAGCUUUGUGUGACGGUACCUAGAUAAGAAGCACCGGCUAACUACGUGCCAGCAGCCGCAGUAAUACGUAGGGUGCGAGCGUUGUCCGGAAUUACUGGGCGUAAAGAGCUCGUAGGUGGUUUGUCGCGUCGUCUGUGAAAUUCUGGGGCUUAACUCCGGGCGUGCAGGCGAUACGGGCAUAACUUGAGUGCUGUAGGGGUAACUGGAAUUCCUGGUGUAGCGGUGAAAUGCGCAGAUAUCAGGAGGAACACCGAUGGCGAAGGCAGGUUACUGGGCAGUUACUGACGCUGAGGAGCGAAAGCAUGGGUAGCGAACAGGAUUAG